CACUUUUCCCAAAAUUAGGGGGAGAAGUUGGUGAAACCAAACGGGAAAUUAUGUGGAAAAACCCAUCAUUAUCUCAUCUUGAUCCACGUGCCUCUAUUAAUAAAAAAGAGGUGCAAAAGAUUAUCCAUUUGCUGAGAAUAGCAAAUCAAAUGCCAGACACAUUUACAGAUUUGAAAAGGAUAACAAAAUCACAUAUCCCUGCAGAGAAUGUUCCAAUCUGUAUUGAUAUCCCUAUUGGAUAAUUUUCUAGUGUCAUAGCUAAUGAGUUGAAAGUACUCCUAAAACGUGGCAGGUUCCAAAGAUAGAAAUCCUAGAAAAUGAAAAACAAAUGAUUAAAAUGACACUACGAAAGAAUUUCAUGAAGCAAUCCACGAUUUAUUAAAUUAUGAGAUUCAUGAACAAUCCACUGAGCCCGAGACUCAAGAAAAUAAGGAACUAUCAACAAAUCCAAUCGAUAUUAAGACAAAUUUGAAUAGAGUGGAUAUAGUGGUGGAUUAUGUCUUUGCAUAUAAUGUUGCAUCUAGCAUUAUGCAAGAAAGUGAGGAUCUUGAAACUCAAUCUGUUGGAGUAUAGGGGUGGAUUAUGUCUUUGCAUAUAAUGUUGCAUCUAGCAUUAUGCAAGAAAGUGAGGAUCUUUAACCUCAAUCUGUUGGAGUAGGUCAACAAAGACUUGAUUGGCCAAAAUGGCAAGAAGCAAUCCAAUCAGAAUGGAAUUCACUUGCAAAACAUGAAGUUUUUAGGCCUGUAGUCCAAACACCUAAUGGUGUUAAGCAUGUUGGAUAUAAAUGGGUCUUUGUACGCAAGAGAAAUCAGAAAAACGAGGUACAAAAAUAUAAGGCACGCCUUGUUGCACAAGAAUUUUCACAAAGGCCUAGUGUCGAUUAUAAAGAGACAUAUUCACCCGCUGUGGAUGCUAUAACUUUCCAUUAUCUCGUUAGUUUUGUUGUCCUUGAAAAUCUUGACAUGCAUUUAAUGGAUGUGGUUACCGCCUACCUUUAUGGCUCACUUGAUAAUGAGAUAUACAUGAAAAUUCCCAAGGGAUUUAAGAUGCCUAACGCACAUAAUUCUAAGUCCAGGGAAAUAUUUUCAAUCAAAUUGCGAAGAUCUUUGUAUCUUCUAAAUCAAUCAGGACGCAUGUGAUAUAAUCGUCUUAGCGAGUAUUUAUUAAAGGAAGGCUAUCUAAAUGAUGCCAUUUGCCCAUGUGUUUUUAUAAAGAAAACAACAUCUGAAUUUAUUGUAUUUGCCGUAUAUGUUGAUGACAUAAACCUUAUUGGAACUCCUAUAGAACUCCAAAAGGUAAUUAAUUAUUUAAAGGAGGAAUUCGAGAUGAAAGAUCUCGAAAAGACAAAAUUAUAUCUUGGUUUGAAAGUUGAACAUUUGUCAAACGGAAUUUUUAUUCAUCAAUCUACCUAUAUAGAAAAGGUAUUGAAACGGUUUUACAUGGAUGAAGCAUAUCCUUUAAGAACUCUGAUGGUUAUUCGAUCACGUGAUGUGAAUAAGGAUCCAUUCCAACCUCAAGAAAAGAAUGAAGAGCUACUUGGUCCUGAAGUNNNNNNNNNNNNNNNNNNNNNNNNNNNNNNNNNNNNNNNNNNNNNNNNNNNNNNNNNNNNNNNNNNNNNNNNNNNNNNNNNNNNNNNNNNNNNNNNNNNNNNNNNNUCUUGCAAAUACUACAAGGCCUGACAUAACUUUUUCAGUUAAUGUCUUAGCAAGAUAUAGCUCUGCUCCUACAAUGAGACAUUGGAAUGGAACAAACACAUAUUGCGGUAUCUAAAAGGAGCUACCGAUAUGGGCUUAUUUUAUGGAAAUAAUUGCAAUCCUGGUCUUGUUGGCUAUGCUGAUGCUGGGUAUUUAUCCGAUCCACACAUGGCUUGAUCUCAAACAGGUUAUGUGUUUACCUGUGGAGGCACUGCCAUAUCUUGGCGAUCGACUAAGCAAUCAAUUGUGGCUACUUCAUCUAAUCAUGCUGAGAUAAGUGCUAAUCAUGAAGCAAGUCUAGAGUGUGUGUGGUUGAGGUCUAUAAUACAUCUUAUUCGAGAAAAUGUGGUUUGAAAUGUGACAAAUUACCCACAAUUUUAUAUGAAGAGAAUGCAACAUGCAUAACUGAAUUGAAGGGAGGAUUCAUAAAGGAGAUAGGACAAAGCACAUUUCACCAAAGUUAUUUUUCACACAUGAUCUUCAAAAGAAUGGUGAUAUCAAUGUGCAACAGAUUCGUUCAAGUGAUAAUAUGGUUGAUUUGUUCACAAAAUCUAUACCAACGUCAACCUUAAAGAAGCCAGUGUACAAAAUCGGGAUGCGAAGCUCAAGGAUGUGAAUUGAUGCUCUCAUCUGGGGGAGUUAAUGCGCGUUGCACUCUUUUUCCCUUACAAGGUUUUGCCCCACUAGGUUUUCCUUGCAAGGUUUUUAACGAGGCAACCAAUAGGCGCAUUUGUAAACAUGUGUACUCUUUUUCCUUUUUUAUAAUUUUUUCCCAUUGGGUUACGACCAAUAGGCACAUUUUUAAACAUGUGUACUCCUUUUCCUUUUCUGGAUUUUUUUCCAUUGGGGUUUCUUUUAGUUAAGGUUUUAACGAGGCACAUUAUCUAUUGAAUAGACAUUCAGGGGGACUGUUAUAAAUAGAAUUAUAUUUAUGGUGAAUGUCUAUAUUUAGAGAGAUUCUAGGGACUAUUACUUGAUAGCUAAAUCAAGCUCUCCCUAUAAAUAGAGGGUUCUAUUCCAUUGUAAAUGAUCCCAGAUUCAAUAAGAAUUUUCUCUUUCGCUUUCUCUGCAAUAUUGUUCUUCUUUUAUUAUUUUCAUAACAUAAAAAAAAAAAAUCUGAAAAUAGUUUUUCCUUGCUUCUCACUCUUCUUUGGGAGAGUGAAAUACACACAUUAUGCCACGUCAGCAUUAAUGAUGCAAAUAAUUACAUUUAAAAUAAAUUUAAGAGGAUAAUAAAAUUUCCGUAAAGAAAAAAUGUGUUGGAAUUUCGAGUAUAGGUCGGGGGCAAUUGAAAUUUCCGCAAAAAAAAAAAUAUGUCGGAAUUUCGAGUAUAAGUCAGGGCAAUUGUGCAUUUUCCCUUCUAGAAAUCUAAAACCUCCAUUACAUUUCAAUCUGAGCUUUGUUAACUUUUCAUUGGAGAUAAGUUUGAUAGGCAUAUUAACUAGUUUAUUAAAAUGUUGUUUUUGGUAUGUUAAUGGGACUGUGAAUACCCUUUCUUUUACAAAAGAGAUCCUCGUUGGAUGAAGCUGCUAAUUAUGCUUUGUUUUAUUUUGCACCAACCAUAUGUUAUCUUAUAUAUAGUGAUAUUUAGUUGCUUACAUUUUGCUAGGGAAGGUAUGUAGUACAUAAGUAGCGAAAUGCAUUAGGAUAGUAGUUCACAUGAAAAGAUCUCAAAUAUUACUAUAUUUUUUAAAGAAAAUUCACUAUAAAGUCUUAAAAAUAUAAAUAAAAUUUAUAUAUUUAUAUAUCGGUUUGGUUCGGAUUUUUUUUACGCAAUACUAAAUUUAGUCGGGUUUUUUAAUCGAUUUGGUUUGAUUUUUCGAUUUGAUACGAUUUUCUGGUACGGUUUGAACACCCCUAGUAGAGGAAUAUAUUAGACUAUUUUCCGCAAAAAAACUAUCUAGCGAGCAAAACUGUAGAGAAAUUAAGGGAGAUGAUAUAAAAGAUAAAACUAUAGAAUGAAAAAGACUCAUUAAUAAAAUUUCUCCUUAUUCUAGAGUUGUACAAUUUAAAGAAAUUAUGCCACAUUUUUUUAGCUUUAAUCUAGUGUUUUUCAUUAUCCAAUUUAUUAAAAGUUUAGAAGAGAUGAAUCUUUGUUAAUAAUUUUUUUGUGGGGGGUGGUUUUAGAGAGGUAUAAUGGAGCUUGAAACACGACAGUCUAGAAUAUAUUUUUCAUGACUAGUCUUACAUUUAACUUUUUUCAAAAUCCUAUUAAUUUCUUUAACAAAAUACGUCUAAGAUAAAAUACUUUCGACUACAGAAGAAAAAAUAUGGGGGCAUUCCGAGAAUCGAACUCGGGACCUCUCGCACCCAAAGCGAGAAUCAUACCACUAGACCAAAUGCCCUGUUUGUUAUUAAGUUAAUUUUCAUCUUAAUCAUAUUCUUAGAGUACGGCUAUUUUAGCUAAUGCGAAAGUUUCUUCUGAGUUCAGGACCAAGGUACAAAAUCAUGAGAGUAGGUAUACAUGUUUUCGUUCUCUCCGGCUAUUGUUUUGAAACCGUCCUCUUGCUGUCACUAUGAACUUCCAAAUUGAAAAGUAGCAGACUCUUCGACAACGGAGACAAAAUCCUUAACUUCAAUGCAUCAAACUUAAUAAACCUUGCGUUAAAAUUGGCAUCCAAAGCGAGAUCCACCAAUCCCUUCCAAAAUCAUUAAAUUAGCAACUUAAAAGAAAAGGACCAUAAUAUACACAAUAUGAAGUUAUGAAUAUACUCGUCUUGAACUAAGUAAUGGAGGUACGUACACAGACAAGGCCCAAUGCUAUUAGAACCAACCAAAUCUUGACUUGGGCCAAAACAUGCAUCUCUAUUUCCAUUAUCCAAUCGAUCGGUUUGAAAAUAAAUAUGAAUUGAAGUACUCCCACAAUAUUGACAUGCAUGUUAGGAUAUCACAUUAUAUGACAUAGCCGUAUAUAUGGCUAUUUCAAAAUAUAGAUUAUAGUUGCAAAUACAUAUUUGCGAUAUAGGUUUCUCAUGUCUUUGGAGUUCAUUAUCUCUUCUUCAUAGCUCCUAUUUAUAGUGACGAAGCGAAAAAUUUCUUUAAAGGUAUUCAAAAUUGAAAAAAAUAAAAAAAAAUAUGAUAAAGGUUAUUCAACAUAUGUUAUGUACCUUAAACCUAAUAUUAUAUAUAUAUAUAUGCACACUAUACUUUUUCCGAUAAAGGGUGGUCAAUUGACCACCCUAACCAAAUUAGUGUGGCUUCACCCCUUAUGUGAUCACAAGGAAAUCAAUCUAUUGAGAAUAUUUUAUUUAAGUCUUUUACUACAAACAAUUACUUCCUCCAUGUCAAUUUAUGUGGCGUGCGUAUGGGUCAAAAUCUACCACAAGUGGAUUAUCACUAAAAGGAAUGGUAAGGAGUCAACCAAGUCGUGGCCGUACCCACAAGGCAUAAUAGCGAUGAGUAUCUCGGCCACUACCGAGAUCAAGCCAUUAGGAAGCUUGUAUAAUAAAUUAUAUGUUAUAAUGCUUGGGUGAGUAAGGAAGAGGAUAGAUAAGAGAUGGGUAUGCUGGUUAAAAACUUUUGGACAAAGGGGGAGAUUCGUAGUAUAUAUAUGAGGUAAGAAGGCAAGAAAGGGGUACAGGGUCUCGCAGGAGAAAAAGAAACAGAAGAACAGGAGAGACUUCCAACAACAAAGCAGAAGCCUAGAUUUUGGUUACAAAUCGUUGUAAUCGUCAUUGUUGAAUUAAUAAAGAUAUAUCUCUUAGUUAUCAACGGUAUUCAUUCCUUUUCUUCUUUGCUCUUACAAGUAUAGAAUAAUGUAUCAAACAUGUAAGCUUAUUUAUUUACGUUUGAUGUCUUUUAAUCAUCCUAAGAAAUGUUAUAUAAGCUCGGUAUCAUUCGAUUCUCCUAUUCAAUCUGCAUAAAUUUAGAGUUAAUUAUGUUUGGCUAAGAUUUAUCCUAUAUUUUCUUCAUUGAUUAGUUUAACGAAAUUCUCAAUACUUUUUGGUCAAAUAAUUUGGUGUAGUCUGUGGGAAUUUCUUAGCCUAAUUUUUUAGUUUCCUUUAGAUCUAGAAGCAGCCAAGAAUCACUUUCACACUGCCAUAACCUCACCAUCCCGGUAUAGACACCAACUCUAAAGAAUGGUAGAUAAGCUUUUGAGAUAACCGAACUAAUCUAGGUCAUAUCUCUACAUAAAAUAAAAAUUAUGACCGAUACAUAUGCAAAACCAACUCCUCACUGUAGUGAUGGGUUUGGCACGUCAUGUGCAUGUUAAAAGUAGAAUCACGGUCACUAUUCGUUUGGCAUUACUGCAAUCUCAUUUGACGUAUUUGAUGGUAGGCUAUGAUUACAUAUUUUAGUCGAUUAUUACACUCUAAUUUACUGUACUUUAGUUGAGUUUAUGCUUUAAUCGCUGGUGUUUUGCACUAACGAUGUGUUUUAUGUCUUCUAGGAGUGAUUCCGAGCUAUAUAGAUGUUAUGGAAUGAAUUCAAGUAAUUUGGAGCUUUAAAGUCUGAGUAAAAUCCCAAGGAAUUAAGCCAGGUUCGUAUUCGGGGAUCAACGGAUGAUAGACUCGAGUAGGCAUAUCGUACACUGUCUUGUAAAAUGCGCAUAACUGUUUGCUCAGAACUCUAUUUCGGCUCUCAAUAUAUGAUUGGAAAGUAAUUCAAAGGCCUAUAACUUUCAUGUUUUACGUUUGUCCAAAUUCCAAACGGAACAAGGUAACAAACAUGGUCGAAACUGUAACCGCGAUAGGACCGCAGCAGAACACUACUGCAUAUGAUUUUGAAGGCCACUCUAGCCGCGGUCCUAGUGUAACUGCGGUAGGACCGCAGCGGGACGCAUAAAUUUCAGGGACUAAAGUGUAAAACACGAUAUUUUAAGCGCUAAACCCUAUAUUAAACAAGGUGGGCUGGCCAAGAUCAGAAAAGAAGGAUUUUUUGGAUGUGAAAAACAUCAUAAGGAAGGGCAAGAGGCAAGAAAGGAUCAUUGGGUAUCAAUCUUUUCUUUGUUAUUUUACCUUUGAAUAUGAAUUCUUUUAUAAUUUUUGAUUCUCCUAGAAAUGUUAUAUAAGCUCGGUCGCAUUCGAUUCUCCUAUUCAAUAUGCAUAGAUCUAGAAUUAGUUAUGUUUGGCUAAGAUUUAUCCUCUAUUUUCUUCAUUAAUUAGUUUAACGAAAAGCUCAAUACUUUUUGGUCAAACAACGUGAUUUGACUGUUAUAAGAAUGAAAGAUUUUGGAACUUGUAGCAUGCCAUGAGAUUUAUGUGCCCAUAAAAUCAUGUCAUUAAGAAUUAAAUUAAUAUAAAUUUAAGUAAAAUUAUUUUUAAAUAUAAAUAUAUUUCAUUCCUUUUCAAGCAUACUAAAUUAUAGAACAUAUCAUAUAAAAUGGAAUGUAUAGAGUAUAAUUUUAUCAAGAAACUAUUCAGAUUUCAGGCUUUAGUUAAAGAAGCUUUGUUUCUUUUAGUUAGGAGCGAAAAUUAGGAUUAUGUGCUAUAUUGACAAUUAUUACAAAGGCAUCUAACCUAUCACGAAAUACUAAGAUAUUGAGGUUGCAGCCUGCGUACUCGUUGCAGUUCCACACUAAACCACACAUGCAAUGCGAAUGCACACUUUCCAAUCUGCAUAUUUCUAAUCUAGGCUACAAAGAAUAAAUAGUAGCCAAAAAGAAAAAGAAAAAGUAAUAUGUAUUAGUAUGAAAUAGCAAGUUGCAUAUGUAUAUGGCCAGCGUUAAAUCACAUCCUGCUACCGUUGACAUCUUGAUGCAAUUUCUUGAGUUUUGUUGAAACAUGAAAAUGAACUUAAUCAGUUUAAUUUGUGAUUAGACUUUGUGUUUAAAGGGAGCUAAAUGAUGAGCCGACUUGAAUUACUUCAAAAGAUAGAAUGGUUCAACGAUAAGGAAAACGAAAGAAGCUAAGUUAGUGGGAAUAAUGUGGAGCCAUAAUUAGCAUUGUACGUGACGAAAGCUGGUGGACAAGGGAAGCAAUAUAUCGGGAGUCUUCCCCUAUAUAAAUGCCAAUUUAGAAGCUAGCAGACCAUUUGUCUUCAACUUUUUGCUGUAGCUUUGCAUUAUGAAGUAGAAGAUGCGAAAGUUGAUGAACCUUUUUUCUCAUUUGGAAACUAAAUGGUCUGAAUCCAUGCAUUAUUGCGAAAAAGACACUUGGAUUGCUAGAUCAGAUCAGACCAACUUUAUUUGUUACCAAUAUUUGCACUAUUCUCCACCUUAUAUAAUUGAUGGAAAAAAGUAUUGCAUUGCGUUCAAAAAGGCUGUGAAAUUAAUAAUGAUGCAAUUGGAAAUCAUCUUGCCAAUGAAUGGAAAGAAGCUAGUUCUGUUCUAUUCAACAUUCUUUCUCCUCAGUCAAAUCAUCUCUUCUUUUGCUUCGUCUAUUUUCUUUUACUUUUCAGAUUGUGUAUAGGCACUGGAUUUAAGGGGCUUGGGUGGUGGUAGUGGUGGUGGUGGGCAGGGUGGAAGGGGGCUGGGAAUUACAUUUUUUGUCAGUAAUAGCAUUUAAGAAGUUUUAGUUUAAAAAUAAAACAUGCUAACUUUGUUAUUAAAUGGAACCGAAUGUAAACUAAUAAUUAUUAGAAGUGCUAAUAACUUUUUAUAUAAGUAUUUACCCACAAAAUGAUACCGUUAAAUUUGUGACGUGAUUUAUAGACAAAACAAUCUUAUAUGAUCCAAAAUGAUAAAUAAGCUAGAUUACAAAUAAGAUUUAACAUUAAAAUAAAAGGAAAUGACAUGAUUGUUGGCUCCGGUAGCAGUGCUUCCGAGGACAGAAGUAAGAGCAAUAUCCAACAAAAGUUAUAUUAUUUAGCUUGAGAAUAAGGUGUAACAUAAGUUUUGCCAGAGAUUUUGUGUCCUUACAAUGACUGUUGAAGCUACAAUUUAAAGUUAUACCUAGGAAACAAGAUCCAGGAUUAAGCUCCUCUUAAAUGAUGAUAAAGGGGGUCAUUGAUGAAUAUGUAAUGGCAUUGAUAUGAAUGUCAAAAUUCUCUGCAACGGGUACCUAUUUAAUACUGGGAAUAUUAUACAUUAAAUGCCAUCUGGUGACAAACAUUUUACUCGCUCAUGUUGAUCAUGACUAUAGUUGAUGUUCCCGAUCUUGGUUCUCACUUGAUUUUUCUUUCAUCUGUCUCCAAUUCCACGUGUCGUCCGAUCAUACGAUCGUUUAAUAUAAACUAAUUAUACCAUAUAUAGAUAGUCCCCCUGCUCUCCGUUAAUACAUCUUUGCGUCCUUGAAAAUUUGGUGAAGAUUCCUUUCUUGGUGGAAAAUCUUUAUGAAGCCUUAUGAACAGUCACUUACACUUGGUAGGAUGUAUGUCUGUUCGCAUUUAAUACCUCGAACAUGUAUUGCCCUACGAUUCAGCAUUAUUUUCGUCGGCUCUCGAGGUAAUCAUGGUCAUUAUUUCUGCCAUCUAUAUCUUUACUUAUACUCAUCAUUUUACCUCUUUCAUUAUCCAAAUCCCUCGUAAGUUCAUUAUCUUCUUUGCACUUAACCUUCUUCUUCUUUGAUAUCUUUCCUCUGCUCUUAACCCAUAGACUCUUUAUUGUCAUGUCUUUUUUUAUGGGGCCCUCUAAAAUAUAUGGUCUUCAUUUUGGUGGAGGCCCGAAGAGAAGCAACGCUAAAGUGGUUGAUGUUAAUCUUGAUCCACCCACCGUGCGCACCAUCAUACACAAACACUUAAGCAUUGUUAACGACUUUCAAGAGAAGUUCUUUUCUACGAAUCCUCGAACUUGGCCUGCUAGUAGGUAUCCCUCUUCUAUUAGUCCUUCCAGUAUUCCUACUGUGAAGGAUGAUUAUGACUACCAUGACUUAAAUAUCAUUGCUCCAUACCUGGUAGAGCGGAUUAGCUUUACCAAGAAUGGUUUUACGUAUGUCUAUACAUACCCCAUAACUUUGGGUUUAUUUGCUUUGAGCGGGGGCUUGACCUUGUGAACCUGGAGUUUUUCCAUCGAUACCAGGCCUGCUUCGUACAAGUAUGCUCUUCUUUGUAGCAAAAGGUAGCUUGUCUGCGCCGGCUGUGCACGGAGAUGGGGAAAACUUUAACCCUGGAACAUAUGAUGGAUCUCUACUCUCCCAAACUCUUCCAUGGGGAGUAAUAAAUAUCAGCAAACGUAGCCACCAUGCUGUACUUACCAACAUGGAUGGUGACAAUAACCGUGGGUGAAUGGAGUGGUUUUUGUCAUUGCUUUCCCGAAUCAUGUAGUCAUUCACAUAAGUUUGUAAUUUUAUCUCUUUCUCCAUAAAAAUGUUAUUCAUUGUCAUUGCUAACCCUUUUUCUAUGUUAUUUCAGCAUGCCCUCGAGUUUAUCUUUGGUGCAGGUGCUUCAUAUUGGAGUCUCCAUCUAGAGAAUAAGAAACCAAAAAGGCGGCAUUAUUUCUUGGCUUGGAAAAAAAUAAGAAAAUAAAGAAGGCCACACCCGAGCCGGUCGCAUCCACCGUGGUCAUUGACGAUGACGAGGAAUCUAGUGAUGGAGAUGUUUCCCUUCAAAGGAGACAACGAUCUUCAUCAGCUCAACAUAAUGCUCAAUCUUGAGAGCUUAGAACCCCAACUGAGGGUGAGGUCCGAGUGCUCUAGGGAUAAAAGGAGUUAGUAACUUUUUAGUCCUUAUUGCUCCUUCUGAUCCUGUGAGGUCGAAAACUUAGCCUGUUCUGCCUUUGGUUGAUAAGCAACCAAUAAUCAGCAAUGCCUUCGUCACAAUUGCUUCUCAACCUACAACACCAUCAGCUUCAUCCCCCUCCACACCAGUCGUGGAUUAAUCACUAGCAACUACUGUAUCUCCUCCACCGUCCGCAGAUGCCUGAGAACAGGUUGUCUCUCCUCCUAAGUCCCCUGACCACGGGAUUUUUGGGCACAACUAUUUGCCCCUUCUCUAGAUUCUCGAUGAAGGAGAAGUGUCACUCUUUCGGUUUCGAGGAAGUGCCAUCUAUUAUCUAGGCUAGUGGAGCUUGCCAAUUACCUCUAGCCAGUGGCUUCAGAGAAAGAUAAGAAGAAGAUACAUUCCCUCUUCGGAGAGUGUAUGUUUAACAAAACCAUGUAAAAUAUGGCAGUGGUAACGUACUUAUUCACUUACUUUUUAUUUUUUGUUUAUCUGUAAUAAUGGAUUUUCUAAUUAUGUAUAUGUUAGCAAGUCAAUUUCCUUGAUUCCUAAGGUCUUUAGAGAUUGAUCCUUUGAUAAAGAAGGACUUAUGUCCAAGCGGGAUCAACUAUUGGCUGAGAGGAAUCAACUCGCUGCGCAUCUCCCAGUGCUAGAGGCAAAGGCUGGUGAAGUGGCUGAGCUUGAGGCCCAGUUGCAGAAGAGUGAACAGGAGGCGAUGGCUCACAGUAAAGAAAAACUUAGGUGCAUUCACAUCUUCAAGAUUUUAGGUUAGAUGAUGGCUUACAAUACUCUUGAUGCUACUGAGCGUGAGUCUGCCUCCAUUGAACGGACAAAUAAUUUGAAGGUAGCCUAGAACUCUAAAGUCGAAAAGGUUGUUGCUGCCGAGAAGAAGAUGGCUCAGAUGGAAGAAAGGAAUAAGAAGAUCAUGGAUCAAAACAAGUUCACAUAUCUAUAAUCUGUGAUCUUGAUCUAAGCCUUGGUGCCACACGAUUCGAGUAGGAUUGCCUUUUGGCCGAGGCUGACAGACUUAAGGAAAAGCUCCAGCACCAUGAGGAUUCCCUCAUCUUUGAAAGCAUUUACUCUUGUACCAUAUAUGGAGGAAAACCUUGGAGGAUCCCAAAUCGGGUGUUAUUGAUAUUGAUGAUGAGAUCACUAAGGCACGAGCGUUGGAGUUAACUACUCGAGAAUGUCUCCCAGCUCAGCCUGAUGAAACUGACUCUUCUACUACCGGUUUCGAGUAUUCGAGGACUAAGGAGGAACUUGAAGAGCAUCCUGAAAAAGGCCAAGAUCCUGAACCAGUGACAGAACCACCUACUUCUCUCGGAGGGCGUAGAUGCCUUUCUUCCCUCGUGUUUUGGUAGUGAUGAAGUUUAGAUUUUUUUCCUUUUUUCUUUUGUUGUUCUCCCUUUCUAUCUUGGCAUUUAUGCCGUUUGGAGUUCUUGAAAAUAAAGAAGACUUGUUGUUUAAGUAUUACACAAAGUUCAUUCUUAUUUGCAUUGAAUUAGAUAAGGCUUCGAGUAUAUCUCCUUCCGAUAGCCUUUGGGUUCCGGUCAUACACUCUUUCGUAAUCAACCCUUUACUGUGAGGGUUUCAUAAAAGAGGGAUCUUUUAUGUUUAUGGUGCUCUUGAAGAGGAUGUCUCCUGUUCAUUUUGGCACUAGCAUUUGAAGUUUUUAGUUAACUUUCAAAUGAUAAAAUCAAUUCAUCGUUUGGACAAGAAAUAAGAUAAAAAUAAAAGGAUUUCAUUUUAUUCCUUCUAUCUUUAAAGGUACAUAAACAUUCAUCUGCUAAAAAAAGAAAUUGAAAAUGCAUGUGGCUAACUUGUUCAACUUAUUUUUACAGAGCUGGUAGAGAGUCCCCGGUCCCGAUGAGACAAUAUUAUUCUCGGUUCUCAUAGUCCUGAUCUUCGUGGAAAUCAUGUUUUCGUAUUCUCGUACUAUUCCCCCUAGUGUUCGAAUGUGAAGUAUGCGAAUUUGAAUACUGGAUGUCAUGCUCUUCUAGGUAAAGCAGUUGAAUAGCCUUUUAUUCGAUUGAAAGUUUUACUUCUCAUUAGGAAUUUUCCAUCGAACCAAAGACUAUUUAACCAUCCCGUAGUGAUCUCUUAUUUCAAUGCCUUAUCAUUCGAAGGGAUUAGCUUUGUUGAUGAUGUUUCCUUCUUAGUAUGCUUUCGGUUGUUGUCUUGUUAAAAACCUUGCCAGAAAAACCUUAUUGGGACAAAAACCGGUCGAAGGCAAAAAAGUGCAACGUAUACUUUUAGUAUAAGUAGGAUCCAUCAACAAUGGUACCUUUUGGGUGAGUCACAUUCCAGUUGUUGGGCAAUUUGACUCCAUCUUGAUUCUCCAGUUCAUAUGAACCUUUACCGAUGACAGCUGAAACCUAGUAGGGGCCUCCCCACAUUGAACCCAGCUUGGUUCUGAGACUCUUUCCUCAAAACCAAGUCUCCUACUUUAAAGUAGCGGAGAUUGGCCCUCUGAUUAUAGUAUCUUUCCAUCCUUUAUUUCUGAGCUACCAUACUCACAUGUUCCAAAGCUCUGCAUUCAUCGAGCACUUGCAACUUUACUAGCAAUACCUCAUUAUUUGCUUCUUCAUCUGCUAAGAAGAAUCAGAAGGUUGGUUCUCCUACUUCCAUAGGGACCAGAGCCUUUAAGCUGUAUACGAGAGAGAAAAAUGUCUCUCCCAUGCUUGAUUUUGUCGUCAUCUGGUAUGCCUAUAGUACGCUCGAUAACUCUUCCUACAAAAUGCCUUUAGCUGCUUCUAACCUCUUUUAACUGAUUGGUUAAUUACGUCUGUCCAUUGAAGCUCGGGUGAUAUAGUGUGGAAGUAAUCCCUUUAACUUUUGGGUCUUCAAGAAAUUUUAUAACUUUGGAGACUAUGACUUGUGAUCCGUUAUCACAAGUGCUCUCGGUAAUGGCAAAUUAUAUUUUCCCAUAGGAAGUCGACCACUUCGCGCACACCGAUAUUUUGGUAAGGAAGUGUGUAAACCCAUUUUAGUGAAUUAAUCAGUUAACUAAAAGGAAUCUUACUAUUCAGGGACCCAGUGGCAAUGGAACAACUAUAUCCAUCCCCUAUUUCAUGAAUGGCCAUGGGUACAAAACAUAAUGCUAGAGCUUCGCCGCCUGGUGUGCCAAUUGUGCGUGGUGCUGGAACUUGUCGCAUUUUAAAAUGAACGCCAUUACGUCUUGCUCCAUCUGGUGCCAGUAGUAUCCUGCCUAAUUAGCUUUAGCACCAAUGAAUCUGCACCGGAAUUGUUUCCGUAAAUUCCUUCAUGGACCUCUCUCAUGAUGUACUCUGCCUCCAAGGCUCCUAAAUAUUGGGCCAACGGACCCUGGAAAAAUCUUCUAUAUAUCUGUCCACCCAAGAUGCUAUAGCGAGCCACUUUGGUGUUUAGUGCCGGGGAUGGCUUUGGUUUUUCGCACAGCUUACUAUGUUGAAGGAAACGAUGAACUUAUUCCUCCAGUCCUAGACUAGGUUGGUUGUAUUUACUUCACAAUAGCCAUCCACAUCCAGUGUCGAAUGCAUAAGUUGAAUGACAGUACUGGAGUCAGAUCUUUUCAUCUCCGUAGAUGGCCAUAAAUUAUUCAAUGUGUCUUAUCCUAUGUUUUCUUUUAUUGGGGAUGUGUGUGAUCGGCCACUCCUUGAAGCAUGUAAGCAAAGUUUGAACUUUAAUCACAUACAAUUGCAUACGUUCCUCCUUUGUGUCAAAGAUCCCAUAUACUUGGUUUACUACCAGCUGGAAAUCACAUUUGAUCUCUAUGAUCUCGGACCUAAUUCCCCAAGUAACUCGAGUCCUGCAAUCAAUGUCUCAUACUCGGCUUCAUUGUUAGUUAAAGGAACAAUUUUUAUGGCAUGAUUCAAGGUCUCCCCCAAGGCGCGAUUAAGACCGCCUUUUGCCCGGACCCUUUCACAUCGGAAGCUCCAUCUGUGAACAAGGUCCAAACUCCUGAUGUCAUUUCUUACACUAUCUUCGCUUAUGUAGCAGCCAAGAGUAAUAACCCAGGACUGAAAUCAUCCACGAAGUUAGCCAAAGCUUGAGAUAUGAUCGCAGUCCUGGGCUUAUAUUCAAUAUCGAACUAAAUGAUUUCAACCGUCGAUUUAGCUAACCGACCUGACAAUUCAGGCUUGCGAAGAACAUUCCACAAAGGGAAAAGCAUCAUAACAGCUAUCGGGAAGCAUUGCAAAAUAAUGCUUAAGCUUUUGAGGGGUGAUUAUGAGAGCUAGGGCCAAAUUUUCCUGGUGCAGAUAACGAGUGACCUCUCCUGACAAAAUUUUGCUAAAAUAAUAGACAGGAAAUUGCGUGCCUUCAUCCUUCCAGACUAGCACGAAACUUACCGCUAGCUUUAAUAUGGCUAAGUAUAUUAGUAGUUGUUCAGCUUUCAUUGGAUUUGAAAUUAGUAUGGGGCUUGAUAGAUAACAUUUUAGGUCUCUUACGUCCAUUUGAAAUUGUUCUUUUUCUUCGAAAGAGAGAAUAAGUGAUAACAUUUUUCUGAGUAUGAGAAAGAUGAACCUGCUUAAAGCGACCAAUCUUCCAGUUAGCCAUUGAACAUCUUUUAUGCUUGUUAGCAGGCCUGCAAUGUCCUAAAUGGCUUUGAUUUUAUCUAUGAUUUACCUUAAUCCCCCUUUGUGAAACCAAUAAACCUAAGAACUUACCGGAGCCAACCCCGAAUGCACAUUGUUUUGAGUUGAGCUUCAUGUUGUGCUUUGUUGGUAUAUCAAAGGUUUCCUAUAGAUGUUUUAAGUGAUCACCUACAUUUAAAGACUUGACCAACAUGUCAUAUAUGUAUCUUCCAUGGUUUUACCUAUUUCUUUAUCGAGCCUCUGAAAAGUUGCUAUGAAGUUUUUAAGCCAAAAAGGCAUCACAUAUUAACAAUAUGUGCGAAAGCUCAUUAUGAAAAAGGUUUAUUCCUGAUAUUUCAAGUUCAUCUUAAUAUGGUUGUACCUGGAAUAGGCAUGUAGGAAACUCAUUAAAUCAUGACCGUCUGUUGCACCAAUCAUUUGAUUGAUGUUCGGCUGUGGGAACAAGUCUUUAUGGCACGUCUUAUUCAAGUCUUUAUUUGCUACGUACAUUCAAAACUUAUUACUCUUUUUCAAAAAUACAACUACAUUAGCUAACCACUCGGGAUACUUUACCUCCCGAAUUGAACUAAUGUCGAGUAUUCGAGUUAGCUCUUUUUCAUGACCACCUCUAGUGGGAUGCCUAUCAUAUGCGAGUGAUACCAUGCAAAAUAAUCCACGUUAGCUUUAUGAAAAUUAAUAAAUCCUUACCUAAGUUCGGGAUUGAGCCAUGUUCAUAAGUGAAAUUUUACUCCAUGAAAUUCUCAAACAAAGCCACUUUUUCGAGUUAUUCUGCCAUGGACUUGGUUGCGUCUAUCUUUUCUUGUACUUGAAAAUACCUCGGUACAUAGUGGGAUUCCAAUGACUCCUCGCCUUUAUCAUCUUCACUCGGCUCAUAAGCAGGUGUCAGUUCCUAUAAUUGCUUUUUGUUGGGUCCUUCCAUUUACUGUUGGAAAUUGACACUGCAUUUAUUUCUCUCGCUGCCAGUUGAUCUCCUCUUAUUUGCUUGAUCCCAUACGGGGUCAAGAUCAGUAGGUAAUGAUAUGUUGAUUGUACGUCCUUCAUUUCAUAAAACCAUGGUCUACCGAGAAUUAUGUUAUAACCCAUGUCGCCGACCACUACUUCAAAUAAGGUGGUCUUUGUAACCCAUUCGUUGUUCAUGGGCAGCAGAAUCUCUCCUCGGGUUGGCACACUUGCCAAGUUGAACCCGGCGAGGAGCUUUGUUACCAGAAUAAUUCUUUCGGUUAAUUUGGCUUGUUCCACCACUAUCUAUUGAAUGAUGUUGGCUGAACUUCAUGGGUCAACCAAAAUGUUAAAUCUUGAAAUCUUGAACAUUAAGAAAAAUUACCAUGGCGACAUUAUAGAACAGAAGAAGUCUGUAAGUGUCUUCCUCCGUGAAGGUGAUAUCAUCUUCGACGACUUCCCGGAGUCUCUCUUUAUGGGUCCUCGAUACUUUUGUCUUCUUGGCUGCCGAGAAGGUUAGACUACUGAUUUCAUUCCCUCCUAUAAUCAUGUGGAUUGUCAACCGAGGAGGGGUUUCCCCCCAUCUACAAGGGUUCUGCGUUAUCCUGGUUGUGCUUGUAGUUGUUCUUAGUUUGGCUCAGUUGCUCAAGAACUCCCUGACAUAGCCAUUGUUUAACAUUAUUUCCACCUCCUUGCGCAAAUGCCGACAGUCCCUAGUUAUGUGACCAUGAAUCCCAUGAUAUUUGUACCAUAAGAUAAGAUCCCUUUGGCUGGGAUCAAAUCUGAUUGACCUAGGGAAUCAUGCCUUUUUAAUAUUCCUCGUCAUCGAUACCAACUCUGUGAAUCUAAUGUUAAAAUUGUACUCUAACAACCUGGGAUAAGUGGAAUCUUGGGUCCUGAUAGCUCUUUGUCUUGCAAAUAUCUGCUGCUUCGGCCACUGUCAAUUCUUCUUUUAGGAGAAAACCUAUUCGAGGACCAAAGCCCUUUAUUGUCGCGUCCCUAGGCUUUCUCAAAUGGAAAGAAUCAAUCUUUUGAAGAUCACUAGUAUGUGUUUAAAUCAUCCUUGACCAUAUCCCUGCCCUUUUCACGAUCCCGCCUCUUGGUUGAUGUCGGGAACCUGAGCUGAUCAUCUUCUAUCAUUAUCUUAGAUACAUAGCGGUUGUGGAUAUAUGCCCAUGUGGUCGCUUAGAAUUCAAGUAGUUUUUCCUUCAACUUUUGGGAGGUGCCAGUGCUUCUCGGGUUUAGACCCUAAGUGAAUG
rnacentral:lncRNA from 1 species